ACAAACACUGAUCAACAUAUUGACACACAUACACUGACAGAAAUACUGACACCCACAUACACUGAGAAAUACUGACACACACACACAGGCACAUACACUGGCACACACAGACUGAUAUACUGACACACACACACACAGACAUACUGGCACACAGACAGAUAUACUGACACAUGCAUACACAUGCACUAACAGACAUACUGACACACAGACAGACAUACUGACACACACACACACAGACAGACAGACAGACAUACUGACACACACACACAGACAUACUGAUA